rnacentral:rRNA from 1 species
GAUGAACGCUGGCGGCGUGCUUAACACAUGCAAGUCGAACGGAAAGGCCGAAGCUUGCUUCGGUACUCGAGUGGCGAACGGGUGAGUAACACGUGGGUGAUCUGCCCUGUACUUCGGGAUAAGCUUGGGAAACUGGGUCUAAUACCGGAUAUGACGAUCCCUUGGAUGGGGUUGUGGAAAGCUUUUGCGGUAUGGGAUGAGCUCGCGGCCUAUCAGCUUGUUGGUGGGGUAAUGGCCUACCAAGGCGUCGACGGGUAGCCGGCCUGAGAGGGUGUACGGCCACAUUGGGACUGAGAUACGGCCCAGACUCCGACGGGAGGCAGUAGUGGGGAAUAUUGCACAAUGGGCGCAAGCCUGAUGCAGCGACGCCGCGUGGGGGAUGACGGCCUUCGGGUUGUAAACUCCUUUCGCAAUCGACGAAGCCUUUUGGUGACGGUAGGUUGAGAAGAAGCACCGGCUAACUACGUG